rnacentral:rRNA from 1 species
CCUUCGGCUUCUACCAUGCAGUCGAACGAUCAACCCUUCGGUGGGGAUUACAGCCGAACGCGUGAGUACCACGUGCCCAAUCUGCCCCGCACUCUGAUACAAACCCUGUAAACGACGUCUAUUACCGGAUUUUGAUCCUCGCAGGCAUCUGCUAGGUUCGAAAGCUCCGGCGGUGCAGGAUGAGCCCGCGCCCUAUCAGCUUGUUGGUGAACUAACGGCUCACCAAGGCGACGACGGGUAGCCGGCCUGAGAGGGCGACCGCUCAUCCUGGGACUGAGACACGGCCCACACCCAUUUGGGAGGCGGCAGUGGGGAAUAUUGCACAAUGGGCGAAAGCCUGAUGCAGCGACGCCCCGUGAGGGAUGACGGCCUUCGGGUUGUAAACCUCUUUCAGCAGGGAAGAAGCGAAAGUGACGGUACCUGCAGAAGAAGCGCCGGCUAACUACGUGCCAGCAGCCGCGGUAAUACGUAGGGGCGCAAGCGUUGUCCGGAAUUAUUGGUGCGUAAAGAGCUCGUAGGCGGCUUGGUCACGUCGGUUGUGAAAGCCCGGGGCUUAACCCCGGGUCUGCAGUCGAUACGGGCAGGCUAGAGUUCGGUAGGGGAGAUCGGAAUUCCUGGUGUAGCGGUGAAAUGCGCAGAUAUCAGGAGGAACACCGGUGGCGAAGGCGGAUCUCUGGGCCGAUACUGACGCUGAGGAGCGAAAGCGUGGGGAGCGAACAGGAUUAGAUACCCUGGUAGUCCACGCCGUAAACGGUGGGCACUAGGUGUGGGCAACAUUCCACGUUGUCCGUGCCGCAGCUAACGCAUUAAGUGCCCCGCCUGGGGAGUACGGCCGCAAGGCUAAAACUCAAAGGAAUUGACGGGGGCCCGCACAAGCGGCGGAGCAUGUGGCUUAAUUCGACGCAACGCGAAGAACCUUACCAAGGCUUGACAUACACCGGAAAACCCUGGAGACAGGGUCCCCCUUGUGGUCGGUGUACAGGUGGUGCAUGGCUGUCGUCAGCUCGUGUCGUGAGAUGUUGGGUUAAGUCCCGCAACGAGCGCAACCCUUGUCCCGUGUUGCCAGCAGGCCCUUGUGGUGCUGGGGAGUCACGGGAGACCGCCGGGGUCAACUCGGAGGAAGGUGGGGAGGACGUCAAGUCAUCAUGCCCCUUAUGUCUUGGGAUGCACACGUGCUACAAUGGCCGGUACAAUGAGCUGGGAUACCGCGAGGUGGAGCGAAUCUCAAAAAGCCGGUCUCAGUUAGGAUUGGGGUCUGCUACUAGACCCCAUGAAGUAGGAGUCGCUAGUAAUCGCAGAUCAGCAUUGAUGCGGUGAAUACGUUCCCGGGCCUUGUACACCCCGCCCGCCACGUCACCAAAGUCGGUAACACCCGAAAGGAGGUGAUCCAACCGCAGGUUCCCCUACGGCUACGGUUGGCGACGCGACCUGCAGUCGCUAUAACCUCGGGUCGGGGCC